GGUCUGGUGGCGAGUGGCGAACGGGUGAGUAAUGCAUCGGAACGUGCCAUUGAGUGGGGGAUAACGUAGCGAAAGUUGCGCUAAUACCGCAUAUUCUGUGAGCAGGAAAGCAGGGGACCGCAAGGCCUUGCGCUCUUUGAGCGGCCGAUGUCAGAUUAGCUAGUUGGUGAGGUAAAGGCUUACCAAGGCGACGAUCUGUAGCGGGUCUGAGAGGAUGAUCCGCCACACUGGAACUGAGACACGGUCCAGACUCCUACGGGAGGCAGCAGUGGGGAAUUUUGGACAAUGGGGGCAACCCUGAUCCAGCCAUGCCGCGUGAGUGAAGAAGGCCUUCGGGUUGUAAAGCUCUUUCGGCCGGGAAGAAAUCGCAUGGGCCAAUACCCUGUGUGGAUGACGGUACCGGAAUAAGAAGCACCGGCUAACUACGUGCCAGCAGCCGCGGUAAUACGUAGGGUGCGAGCGUUAAUCGGAAUUACUGGGCGUAAAGCGUGCGCAGGCGGUUUUGUAAGACAGGCGUGAAAUCCCCGGGCUUAACCUGGGAACUGCGUUUGUGACUGCAAGGCUAGAGUACGGCAGAGGGGGUGGAAUUCACGUGUAGCAGUGAAAUGCGUAGAGAUGUGGAGGAACACCAAUGGCGAAGGCAGCCCCCUGGGUCGAUACUGACGCUCAUGCACGAAAGCGUGGGUAGCAAACAGGAUUAGAUACCCUGGUAGUCCACGCCCUAAACUAUGUCAACUAGGUGUUGGGUGGGUAAAACCAUUUAGUACCGUAGCUAACGCGUGAAGUUGACCGCCUGGGGAGUACGGCCGCAAGGUUAAAACUCAAAGGAAUUGACGGGGACCCGCACAAGCGGUGGAUGAUGUGGAUUAAUUCGAUGCAACGCGAAAAACCUUACCUACCCUUGACAUGCCAGGAACUUGCCAGAGAUGGCUUGGUGCCCGAAAGGGAGCCUGGACACAGGUGCUGCAUGGCUGUCGUCAGCUCGUGUCGUGAGAUGUUGGGUUAAGUCCCGCAACGAGCGCAACCCUUGUCGUUAAUUGCCAUCAUUUAGUUGGGCACUUUAACGAGACUGCCGGUGACAAACCGGAGGAAGGUGGGGAUGACGUCAAGUCCUCAUGGCCCUUAUGGGUAGGGCUUCACACGUCAUACAAUGGUCGGUACAAAGGGUUGCCAAGCCGCGAGGCGGAGCCAAUCCCAGAAAGCCGAUCGUAGUCCGGAUUGCAGGCUGCAACUCGCCUGCAUGAAGUCGGAAUCGCUAGUAAUCGUGGAUCAGCAUGUCACGGUGAAUACGUUCCCGGGUCUUGUACACACCGCCCGUCACACCAUGGGAGCGGGUUCCGCCAGAAGUAGGUAGCCUAACCGCAAGGGGGGCGCUUACCACGGCGGGGUUCGUGACUGGGGUGAAGUCGAAACAAGGUA
rnacentral:rRNA from 1 species